CACAAGUCGCUGGACAGGAUGAGAAUGGAGGCAGCCUCGCUCUAUCAGCUCUACAAACAGACUGCUGGACGGUUCGUCUCGUUCCAUCCGGCUGGUUAGAAAGAUGAGGGCCGAUCAUGCAGCAGAGACAGUAAACGGUUUGUUGACGUGUUGCUCUAAAGCUGCAGGAAAACAGGAAGCAGCUUCUUCCACAGCGCCUUCAACACGGGUUAUUUUUAUGGUUCGUCUCCUUGGCAACACCGUGGCGUAACCAAUCCCACGUGUGUGUGUGUGUGUGUGUAUGUGUGUGUGUGUGUGCAUGCGUGCGUGCGUGCGUGCGUGCGUGUGUGUGUGUGAGUGUGUGUGUGUGUCGUAAUGAGUCACGGGGAUGACAGCGUGGUGAGCUGCAGAAGAAAACUGACGAAAAACUCCUUCAUGCAACAAUUCAGAGUGGAGAAAGUAGAGCCGAAUGGAAGAAGAAGCCGCUACAGCUCCGUGAGCUCCAUUCACACCAAGCAGUCGUUCAAGCAGCCAUUCAAGCAGCCGGACAGCCUCCCUCUGGCCGACGGGAGGCGGAAAAUACGCCACUGGGUUCGGGAACAUCUGGAUUCUGCCUGCUGCUGAACACAGUUUUGCUAAAUCGAAACAUGACUGCUGUUGUUUUAAGGACACCUCGGAUCCCGUUCAGGGCGACAGACGUCUUAUCCCGGCUCAGAUUCGCUGACACAUGGCGCUGCGAGGGAAAAGCAUCUGUCCGUCCAGAGGGGAAAUCCGUCCAGCGGCUAAUACUGCAGUCGGCACGCAAAGCCCGGAUAACACAAGGCCUUCUGCACGCCAGCUUAGUCUCACACACUAAUAAAAUCAUUCAUUUUUAUCUACUCUCCGUCUUCCAUCAACUCCACCAGACGACGACGAGAUAGACGAGAGGAGGGAGGAAAAGAAGUCCUCCUCUAUGACUGCAGAGGAACAGAUCGCUGCUCCGGAGAUUAUUUAAAGGUUCUGAUGAUCACUGAAGCUAUAGCUGGACUCUGUUCUAGGAGGUACAACCUGAUAUUAAUAUUUCUGAUCGAGUCACAAUCAUAUUUCAACGUCCACAUCCUCCAGUCAUCUGAAGCAACUGUUUAUGCUGCAACUCAACAUUAGUUGGACUGUCAACAGGGUCAAUAUAUAACUGAGGGACUUUUGAAGUCCAUGGGAUAUAUCUGCAUACAUUUAUAUUAAAAGUUAAAAAAAAAAUAACGUUUUCAUGUUCAUUAUGAUCAUGUCUUUACAAAUACCAUAAUUAUUUAAGGAAACAAUCACUUAUUAAUAAAAAAUGACUGGAUAUCACUAAAAUGUCAACUAUGACACAAAAAGUCCCAGAGUUAUAUAUUGACCCGUCCAGAAUGACUUGAAAAUGAUCCAUAAUUACAGAAAAUUAGUCCAGAAUGACAUGAAAUCUGUCCUAAAUGACUCAAAAAUUAUCCCAAAGACACAAAAAUGAUCCAAAAUGAUGAGAAACAAUCCAAGCUGACAUAAAACUUAUUUUAAAUGACAAGAAAAUUGUCCAAAAUGACUAAAAAAUUGUCCAAAAUUACUUCAAAAAGAUCCAUAAUAAAAGAAAAUUAGUUCAGAAUGACAUGAAAUGUGUCCUAAAUGACUCAAAAAUGAUCCCAAAGACACGAAAAUAGAAUACUGUAACAUUUAAAAAACUUUAAAAAUAUCAUUUUAAAAAAACUUUUAAAUUAAUUUUAUUUUUUAAUAUACAUAAAUUCUAUUUCAAAUAAUAGACAACAUGUGUAAAAUAAUAUAUUUGUGGAUUUAAAUACAGUAAAACAGUGUAAAUUUAGAGCCACAUACUGAAAAAGAACAAUUGCCUAGAUUUUGGAUGUGGACAUAAUUUAUUUUUUAAGCAAAACUGGCCAAAUCUAUUAAAAAAAAAAUAAUAAUUAAGGCAGUUUUAGUUUUUAAUUCACAUAAAUUCUAUUUCAAAUAACAGAAAACAUCUGUAAAAUAACAUAUUUGUGAAUUUAAAUACAACAAAACAGUAAAUUUAGAUUCAGAUACUGCAACAGAACAAUUUCCUAGAUUUUUGACAUAAUUUAUAGUUUGAACCUGCUGUUGUUUUUUAAGACCACAUCUGUAAAAUAACAAUAAACUGUUCAAAAUAUGACAGUUAGAAGCUCAGAAAAUUCUUUUUUUUUUUUCAGCACAUCUGGGCAUAAAAAGAGCAGAACAACAUUUGGAGUCCAGAGAAGUCGUGUUUAGUUUGAUAAAUGAUAAACUAAAACCUUUAAAUCUUUAAUCUCCGUGUUUACAUGAUCACGUUGUGUAUUUUUAGACGGAUCUGGACUCUUUUAUGAGUGUUUGUGUUUCCUCAAACAGCCACUUGAGGCACAAAUAAAUCAUCCGGAUUGAGUUUGAUUGGAUUUUUCCUUACAGCAGGUCAAUGAACAGAAUAUUAAUCAGUGUUUGGGCUUCUUCGCUCUGGUUUUCGCUGGUAAACUCUUGCUCUGCUGCUAUCAGGACAGAGUGAAUCAUUCGUGGCCAGACGGAUGGAAAGUGUGACGGUGAAGCUGUUCGGAGGCGCUCCCGCUUAGAAACGCCACCAAAACAUGAACACAACCAAAACCUGCGGGCAGGAGGAGAUCUCAGCCUCAGAACUAAACAUUUACGCUGUUCUGAAGCACAUUUUCUGAGACUUUUAGAGCUUUUUUGCACCUGAAAUCCAAACCAAACGGAUUCCAGACUCACUAUGAUUCUCUCCUAUCAGGUUCAUUCCGUGAUCAGCAUUUUGUAACCGCAGCAAACUUUAUUUCAUCGUUUUUCCCAAAGAAACCGCAUAUCACACAUGAUUAGUUCAAGGACCAUUGGAAAGAGGAAGAUCCAGUAAAUUUUUCUCUUUUUACAGUUUUUGACUCUGAUAAAUGAGUGAAUUUUGGUGAUUUUGUAAGAAGAAAACCUGGGUUCAGAAGGUUAACAGUGACUAACACAGUUACAGUUUUCCUUUAUAUCGAAGACUGAUGCUUUCAUUGAUUUUAGCUUUUUUAUUCUUUUUGAUUAAUAUUUUGUCAUCUAUUUUCUCCACAUUCCUCAAACAACAUGUUUGGAAAAAUUAUACAGCUUUAUUCCUUAUUGCUUUAUAGCAGCACCUCCACAGC